rnacentral:rRNA from 1 species
GCAGCAGUGGGGAUAUUGCACAAUGGGGGAAACCCUGAUGCAGCGACGCAGCGUGCGGGAUGACGGCCUUCGGGUUGUAAACCGCUUUCAGCAGGGAAGAAGCGAAAGUGACGGUACCUGCAGAAGAAGUACCGGCUAACUACGUGCCAGCAGCCGCGGUAAUACGUAGGGUACGAGCGUUGUCCGGAAUUAUUGGGCGUAAAGAGCUCGUAGGUGGUUGGUCACGUCUGCUGUGGAAACGCAACGCUUAACGUUGCGCGGGCAGUGGGUACGGGCUGACUAGAGUGCAGUAGGGGAGUCUGGAAUUCCUGGUGUAGCGGUGAAAUGCGCAGAUAUCAGGAGGAACACCGGUGGCGAAGGCGGGACUCUGGGCUGUAACUGACACUGAGGAGCGAAAGCAUGGGGAGCGAACAGGAUUAGAUACCCUGGUAGUCCAUGCCGUAAACGUUGGGCACUAGGUGUGGGGGACAUUCCACGUUCUCCGCGCCGUAGCUAACGCAUUAAGUGCCCCGCCUGGGGAGUACGGUCGCAAGGCUAAAACUCAAAGGAAUUGACGGGGCCCCC